rnacentral:rRNA from 1 species
UGAUUUAUCGCCAAAGGAUGAGCCUAUGUGUAGUUGGUAGGGUAACGGCCUACCAAGCCAACGACGGAUAGCUGGUCUGAGAGGAUGAUCAGCCACAUUGGAACUGAAACACGGUCCAGACUCCUACGGGAGGCAGCAUUGAGGAAUAUUGCGCAAUGGGCGAAAGCCUGACGCAGCAACGCCGCGUGGAUGAUGAAGUUCUUCGGAAUGUAAAAUCCUUUUGCUGGAGACGAAUAGGUCGGCUUGCCGACUCUGACGGUACCCAGCGAAUAAGCCACGGCUAACUCUGUGCCAGCA